AGUACACCACGAUAUGUAGUAUAGUCAUGUAGAGUGACCUUUGAUGCCUAUGUGCUGUAUGUUAGUUGUUUAUAUGAGAAAAGAAAGUCUGUGUAUAUACAUGUGUAUGUUUGCUAAUGCUAACAGGCCUAGCGGUGAGAACUGAAGCCUGGCCGCCUUUAGCACCCAUUUUAGGUGCAAGUGAAGUAGAUAGACAAAACAAUGAGUGAAGGAACAAAAUGGAUGUAUAUUUCAAUUUAUAUUUUUCUUAUAUAUAUAUAUAUAUAUUAUCUUAAUAUGGCUACUUCUUGUCAGUUAGCAGAGCAUGCUUGAAUGGCUUGAUGGUUGUAGUUGCGUAGCAUAAAAAAUGAAUAAACUGUUGUGUUGGAGAGACGACCAACUGUUCCCACUCUUUCAUGUGUUUCAGGUCGAGAACAUUUGGCAGUGAGCAGUAAAAUUAUAGCUGUGUAUUUCCCUAAGUCUUGUUUAGGGAGGUGACAUACACACGCCAGUCUCAAGCCACGACACUUCCAAGAGCAUGAUGUCUACUUGCAAAAAUGUGUGCAAAAUUUGGGGAUCCGUACAUGGUCCAUGGCUAUUUAUUGGGUCCAUCGCAUACCGUCAUCAGUAAUCACCUAGGAUGAAUCAAGCCCGAAAGUCUGGCGGUGGACAUGUUUGUCAUCAACGCAAAGGUCACCAAAGUCAUGCAGCAGCCCGACACAAAUGUACGAAGACACGUGCACACACAGCACACACAAGAGGAGGUGUCUGUUUGAAGAAUGUGCCACGGUUGGGAGGAUGAAUUUGCAUGAUGAACUUGUCAUUUAUUUAUUUAUUUUUUCCAUCAGGCCGCACCCCGCUAUCACCAUUUCUCAAAUGAUUUUCCAUUGUAUGCAGGGCAGCCGCAGAUUCACUUCCUGUUUAGGCAAUGUCUUAGAUCAGUGGUUCCCAAACUUUUUACAGCCGGGUACCUUUUCAGACAUUUGAUGUGAAGCCACGUACUUAAGAAAAUAAACAUUAAUUCAUUCAUUUUCUACCGCUUUUCCGCACGAGGGGUGCUGGAGCCUAUCCUAGCUGUUUUCGGGCGAGAGGCGGGGUACAG